ensembl:snRNA Gm26263 U1 spliceosomal RNA
AGCCUUACCUGGCAGAGGAGAUAACAUGAUCAAGGAGAUGAUUUUCCCAGGGCAAGGCUUAUCCAUUGCAAUCCAGACGUGCUGACCCCUGAAACUUUCUCAAAUGUGAGAACCAUGACUGAGUGCCUUGUGGUAGUGGGAGAUUGCAUUCGUGCUCUCCCA